UACAGAGGUGGCAAGCGUUGUUCGGAAUUACUGGGCGUAAAGGGCGAGUAGGCGGCCUUCUAAGUCAGACGUGAAAUCCCCCGGCUUAACCUGGGAACUGCGUCUGAUACUGGGAGGCUUGAGUAUGGGAGAGGGAUGUAGAAUUCCAGGUGUAGCGGUGAAAUGCGUAGAUAUCUGGAGGAAUACCGGUGGCGAAGGCGGCAUCCUGGACCAUUACUGACGCUGAAUCGCGAAAGCUAGGGGAGCAAACGGGG
rnacentral:rRNA from 1 species